rnacentral:misc_RNA from 1 species
GAUGAAGAACGUAGCGAACUGCGAUAAGUAAUGUGAAUUGCAGAAUUCAGUGAAUCAUCGAGUCUUUGAACGCACAUUGCGCCCCCUGGCAUUCCGGGGGGCAUGCCUGUCCGAGCGUCAUUGCUGCCCUUCAAGCCCGGCUUGUGUGUUAGGUCGUCGUCCCCCCCGGGGGACGGGCCCGAAAGGCAGCGGCGGCACCGCGUCCGGUCCUCGAGCGUAUGGGGCUUUGUCACCCGCUCGAUUAGGGCCGGCCGGGCGCCAGCCGGCGUCUCCAACCUUCUAUUUUACCAGGUUGACCUCGGAUCAGGUAGGGAUACCCGCUGAACUUAAGCAUAUCAAUAAGCGGAGGA